rnacentral:lncRNA from 11 species
CCAAAGCUGAAGAAGGGGGGGCAGCAGUGGGAGGAGUGGCUUUGGGCCCAUAAAAGAGCCUGCAGAAGGAAGGAAAGAAGCAAGGCGGGAAGCAAAGAGAGUAGGAAUAGAAGCAAGGAGCCAAGCAGAGAGCAAGCUGAUCAUGGGUCCAGAAGAAAGGUGGUCGGUCAUCCUGUCCGGCUCUGGCGUCUAUGAUGGGAGUGAAGUCCAUGAAGUUUCGGCCGUCAUGGUGCAUCUCAGCCGGGAAGGGGCCCAGGCCGAGCUGUUUGCCCCCAACGUUCCACAGAAGCAUGUGGUGAACCACGCCACAGGGCAGCCCACAGAGAAGGAGGAGCGCAAUGUCUUGGAGGAAAGUGCCCGGAUCGGCCGAGGAAACGUGAAGGACUUGGAAUUGUUGAAUGUGAAGGACCUGGAUGCCCUCAUCAUCCCAGGUAGCAGGAUAAGAACACUAAGAGGUGGCCAUUAAGUGGGCUUCCAGGGUACUACAUCCCCCAGCAUCAAACACCAAUAACCUAAACCAGGGGUCCUCAAACUUUUAAAGCAGAGGGCCGG